UCACUUCUUAGUGUUGAAUGUUGCUGUC
rnacentral:sRNA from 1 species